CACAAAGACCAUAGUCCUUGUUUAGAUGCUCGUUAUUUGAGGGAGACACACCCAAAUCGCAUACCAGUGAUUUUUAAGAAGGAUGCAAGUAGUGACAUUCCUGACAUGGACGGGGAGAAGUUAGUUUCGAAUUCCCUUGUGCUUUAAUUAUUUUGAUUUGUGUUUGUACAUUCAAAUAGAAUUGUUCUCAUUUCAUUUAUGCUUUUGAUAUAUGUUUUGAAAUUGGUCAG